rnacentral:rRNA from 1 species
GUAACACGUAGUCAACCUGCCCUGGAGACACGGACAACCCCGGGAAACUGGGAUUAAUCCGUGAUAGGUCAUCUCAUCUGGAAGGAGAGAUGGCUUAAAGGGGCGCGCGGGCUUCUUCUGCGCGUUCGCUCCAGGAUGGGACUGCGUCCGAUCAGGCUGUUGGCGGGGUAAUGGCCCACCAAACCUGUAACCGGUACGGGCCUUGAGAGAGGUGGCCCGGAGAUGGACACUGAGAGAAGGGUCCAGGUCCUACGGGGCGCAGCAGGCGCGAAACCUUCGCAAUGCGCGAAAGCGUGACGAGGUUAAUCCGAGUGGCCUCCGCUGAGGAGGUCUUUUGUCAGCUGUAAAUAGGCGGGCGAAUAAGGGGAGGGCAAGCCUGGUGUCAGCCGCCGCGGUAAUACCAGCUCCUCGAGUGGUCGGGGCGAUUAUUGGGCCUAAAGCAUCCGUAGCCGGUUCCGUAGGUCCUCUGUUAAAUCCAACAGCUCAACUGUUGACCUGCAGAGGAUACCGCGGGACU